CACAGAGCUAAUACUGAAUCGCGUCUUGCAGAUAUUUCUUAAAACAUAUUUGUAGCCGUUUUCAGCUCCCCCAAAUUCAACAGAAACUCAACCAAAGAAUUUCUCCUUGAUGAAAAAUGGAUACCUGGAAAAUCCAGCUUGUCCUUAUGGCUUUCUGUGCUUUGGUGCGAACCUAUCAGGGACUGUCAGGUAGUGAAGAAGAGAAGAGAGGGUUAUCCAAAGACUGGCAGGAUGAGUCACUGGAGACUGGUCUGAUUAACCCAGUGGACAGUCUGAUUAAAAGAUCUAAAGCCCUUCGCUUCUAUGGACUUAUGGGGAAACGAUCAGGUUGUCUCGAACAGCAUCCCUGUAUAUAAACAUGAUAGGAGCAUCGUUUUUGUGUGGGCAUGUGUACAAUUUAAAUUUUUCCACAUGUUCGUGGUAAUAAGUGUUCGUAACUUGCUUUUUCCUUUACAGGAAAUAAAGGAGAGACAUUUGGGGGUUUAAUGGGAAGAAGCACCUCCAGUGGUGAAUCUUUAACCAGAAUAAUUCCAUCCGGAACAACCACCACGGUCCAUCGUUCAGAGAAACCACACAAGCACGGUUCCCCGGAAAAAUGGAUCCAAAUCUUCUAUUGAUGGAGCGAAACAAAAAUACACAUCAUCAUGAUCUAUACAAUUUCACACCAACCAAAGACGUUACCAUAAAUCAUACUCCUAAAAAAUACACCCUGCUUAUAGUUUCAAUUCAUGCUAACAAAUAUUGGAAUAAUCCCAAACAAGAACAGGUACCAUCUUCAAAAUGCACAUUGCUUGUAAGAAAUAAAAAAUAACCUGUAAUUGCUGCCAAAUAUCGGUAUGUAUUUUUUGCACGAGCAAAGCAAAACAUUCAUUGUAUCCACCACACUGGACUGUUUAUCGUUUAACAUUCAGAGCUAAGUAGACGUAGGCAGUUUUCAACGAGUAGGACAAACUCUCUACUAUUAACUGUUGGAGUUAAAUCAACCGACUUGGAACGUAUGACGCUUCACAUAUAAAUGAAAGUAAAAUAUAAAAGUAAAAAAAAAAAA